AGCGAACGCUGGCGGUAGGCCUAACACAUGCAAGUCGAACGGCAGCACAGUAAGAGCUUGCUCUUACGGGUGGCGAGUGGCGGACGGGUGAGGAAUACAUCGGAAUCUACUUUUUCGUGGGGGAUCACGUAGGGAAACUUACGCUAAUACCGCAUACGACCUACGAGUGAAAGCAGGGGAUCUUCGGACCUUGCGCGAAUGAAUGAGCCGAUGUCGGAUUAGCUAGUUGGCGGGGUAAAGGCCAACCAAGGCGACGAUCCGUAGCUGGUCUGAGAGGCUGAUCGGCCACACUGGAACUGAGACACGGUCCAGACUCCUACGGGAGGCAGCAGUGGGGAAUAUUGGACAAUGGGCGCAAGCCUGAUCCAGCCAGACCGCGUGGGUGAAGAAGGCCUUCGGGUUGUAAAGCCCUUUUGUUGGGAAAGAAAAGCAGCAGGUUAAUACCCCGCGGUUCUGACGGUACCCAAAGAAUAAGCACCGGCUAACUUCGUG
rnacentral:rRNA from 1 species